CUAAUCUUCUGCCUCUUUCCUUUUAUUGGGUUUCCAUUUUGGUUUGGUUUGUUCCACCUCUGCCUCCCCCCCCCCCCCCCCCUCCACCUUCGGUGUAACUCACACAGUACUGACACUGAGCAAUAGGCAAAGUCUUUCUCUCUCUCUCUCUUUCUCUCUGUCUCUCUCUUUGGUCCUGUCCUUUGGAAAGCUCAAAAGCUUCACUUUUUGUCUUUGUUUUUGGUUGUUUCCUCCAGCAUUGCCCAAGUGGUGCAAAGCUCUUCCCCCCCUCCCCCCUCCCACCCUCCACUCCUCUGUUCUUUUGGGUUCUUUCCCUUCGCUUUCCGUUCGUCGUCGUUGGGUUUCUUCUCUGGCUUAGUAAGAGUUGGUUGAUGUCCUUCAGGGCUUCCCUGGUGACAAGCAGAGCUCUGCUAGGUUUAUCUUGGUUGGAAUGGGGUUGGUCCUUAGUUGAAGAGUAGGAAUGAUUUCAUCUUCCAUCCAAUGAGCAAAAGAAUUGGUGUCUUCCAGCUGGCUGUGGUGAGAGACCAUCACCUCGUCCCUUCUGCUCUGGGAGUGAGAGGAUAGCCAAGAGGCAGUGGUCUUAGGAAGCAGGAGGACAGGUCACCAGCAGGUCUUUGGGCUGCUCUUUCCAACUGGGCAAAGAGGUUUUUGUGUCAUCAGGCAGCUGCCUGCAUCUGGAACCUCUUGGGAGGGUGAGAUGCUCCCCAUCGGCCACGUCUUGGGGCAUGCUAAGGGAGAAGCUUCCUCCUCCCUGUGUGGCUACCACUUGCAGGCAGGUGGCUGUUGAAGGGAACAAGGAAUUGGUCUGAAGAGCUUGGCCAGCUCCAAGGAACGGUCUGAAGGGAGCUUCUUCAGGUGCAGGAGUUGAUCUGAAUUGCUUCUUUAGGUCUGAAGAGGCCUUCCAGUUGUAAGGGCUUGUCUGAAGGAGCUGCUCCAGCUCCAAGCGUUGGCCUGAAAGGUUUUGCCAAGUCCAGGGGGUGGUCUGAAGAGGUUCUUCAGGUCCAGGAGUUGAUCUGAAUUGCUUCUUCAUAUUCAAGGGUUGGUUGGAAGAGCUUCUCCAGGUCCUGUAGUUAGUCCAAAGAGCUUUGCCAAGUUCAGGGGCUGCUCUGAAGAGGUUCUCCAGGUCCUGUAGUUGGUCCAAAGUGCUUCUUCAAGUGCUGGGAUUGGCCUGAAGAGCUUUAGGUCCAGCAGUUGAUCUGAAAAGAUCCUCCAGAUCCUGUGCUUGGUGUGAAGAGCUUCUGCAGUGUCUGCUGGUGUGGGGAAAGAGAGUGGCUGGUUGAAGGAGUCUUUGGGGCAGGGUGAGGGACAAGAUGAGUGGCUUCACCCUGCACCCAUGUCGUUGGCAGGUCUGAGACCAAACUCUGGCACCUCCACAACAGUUGAGGUGCCCCCUUCCAGUUCUCUGGGGGACAUCUGGUUUGGAGGCCUCCAGGAGAAAUGCUGAUCCAAGCACAAAUCCUGGCUCCACAGAGGAAGGCUGGAGAGGAGGAGGAUGUUCAGCUGCUCUGCUUGGGGAGAAGUGGGAGGAGGAGGAAGCCAUAGCAAUAGACAUGUCCCCAUCCUCAUGGGAAGGCACCUGAGAAAAGGUGGAGAGCAAGGAAGGAAGGAGAGGCAGAGCUGAUGUGGAGCAGGCUGGGGGGCAGUGGGCACACAGAGCCUGUGGGCAUCACUUCUGGGGGUGGGGGUUGACUUAGGCAAGGAGAUGAGGACAUGAAGCAUGACUGCAGCUGGUGACAUCCCAGCUUGGGGUGUCCAAGGAGAGCAAUAAGUUGUCUUGAGGGCAGCAGAGGGAGUCCAGAUGUGCAGACAGGGCUGGUGGGCAGGUGGGUUUUAAACCAAACCCACCACAGGAACCAGGUUCUGCUGCUGCUGCUCCUCACCCUGAGACAAAACCAUGGCUUUGGUGGUCCCCUCAAGCAUGCCCAGACGAGUUACAGCCACAGCCACUGGUGUGUGUGCACUGCUCAUGGCUCCUGGGCUCCAGGGUUGGCACAGCUGAUCACACCCAGAGCCUUUAAAGAGGUCAAGCUAGGAGGUGUGGAUGGGAAGCUCUCAAGCUAGCAGGUGUGGAUGGGAAGCUCUCAAGUUAGGAGGUGUGGAUGGGAAGCUCUCAAGCUAGCAGGUGUAGAUGGGAAGCUCUCAAGUUAGGAGGAGUGGAUGGGAAGCUCUCCUGUUAGGAGGAGUGGAUGGGAAGCUCUCCUGUUAGGAGGAGUGGAUGGGAAGCUCUCCUGUUAGGAGGUGUGGAUGGGAAGCUCUCCUGUUAGGAGGAGUGGAUGGGAAGCUCUCCUGUUAGGAGGUGUGGAUGGGAAGCUCUCCUGUUAGGAGGUGUGGAUGGGAAGCUCUCAAGCUAGCAGGUGUGGAUGAGAAGCUCUCCUGUUAGGAGGUGUGGAUGGGAAGCUCUCAAGUUAGGAGGUGUGGAUGGGAAGCUCUCAAGUUAGGAGGAGUGGAUGGGAAGCUCUCCUGUUAGGAGGAGUGGAUGGGAAGCUCUCCUGUUAGGAGGUGUGGAUGGGAAGCUCUCCUGUUAGGAGGUGUGGAUGGGAAGCUCUCCUGUUAGGAGGUGUGGAUGGGAAGCUCUCCUGUUAGGAGGAGUGGAUGGGAAGCUCUCCUGUUAGGAGGAGUGGAUGGGAAGCUGUCCUGUUAGGAGGUGUGGAUGGGAAGCUCUCCUGUUAGGAGGUGUGGAUGGGAAGCUCUCCUGUUAGGAGGUGUGGAUGGGAAGCUCUCAAGCUAGCAGGUGUGGAUGGGAAGCUCUCCUGUUAGGAGGUGUGGAUGGGAAGCUCUCCUGUUAGGAGGUGUGGAUGGGAAGCUCUCCUGUUAGGAGGUGUGGAUGGGAAGCUCUCCUGGCCUUGCCUGGCAUGGGCUUCUGAGCCAUGGCUGGUGUUGAAUCAGUGCCCAGAUGUCUCUGUUGGUUGCUGUGCUCUGGUCACACCUGCACCACACCUCCAGCUGGCAGUGGAGCCCAAGACCUUGGCUAGGCACUGGAGGUCAGCCUGGAGGGACUUUCAGGUGACCAGACAUGAACACCUGGGUGAAACCUUCUUCUUGGUGGUAUCUCCCAGCUUGGCUUCUGCUGCCCUUGGACAGGGCUGCAGGAGCUCCUUCCCAGGAGCAUGGAGCCAAACAGGGAGAAAUAAGCUAAGGGUCCCAAGAGGCCAUUUUUCUACUGCUGGUUGGUCUCAGGUGGUUUGCCAGGUUGGGCUGGCACCAUCCCUCCUGUCUGAGGGACAUUUGGUUGGCUCUGAAAGAAACCUAACAGAGCUCUGCUUGGACCUUCCCAACCUCAAGGCUGUGGACUGAGCAGCAGUGCUGUGGAGUGAGGAAGGUGAAGUUCUCCCACGUGGGACUUUGGGUUGCACUUUGGGCUCACAUAACAGGCAAAGAGAAGGUAUCAGAGAGUCAAUAACCAGAGGGUUGCCCCUUUGAGCUUGGCCAAGCCAAGGGUUGGCCCUGAAGAGCAGCAGGACACUUGGAAGUGGCAUUGUCACAGCCUCCUUCCACUCUUUGGAACACAGCAGGGUUGAACCUGGGCCAAAAAGAAAAGCCCCAGACAAAACUGACACCACCCCAAGUAGAUCACAGGACUUGAAGGCCUCUCAAACACCUUUUCUGUUCUCACUCUUGACUUGAUGUUGUGUCUUAGGAACUAUCAGCACCAAAACACGUAGGGUAGGGUAAGAUUUAGCCAACACCACAGCAUGGUGACUUGUAGGGACCAACAAGCUUCAUUAUCCCAGCCUGGGCUCUGUAGAGGAGGACCUUAGCCAGCAGACAUCAUCCCACCACUGACCUGGGCACACUUCACCCUGAACUGCUUCAGGUUUGGCCCCACAGCUCAACAGGAGAUGUCAAACUCUCUCCUGACAGGGAAAGGAAACAUUAAAGGUGUGGGGUGGGGAGGGAGAAAAGUCUCCAGGAGCUCCUGGAGAGGCUCACCCAACCUUCCUGCUGCCAGGAGCUGCCAGGAGCUGGUUUAGCUUUAAUCCCACUGCUGCUGCUCCUCAUCUCCUUAUGCCCAGCUAGAAACAGUCCUUAGCUCAAGCAGGCUGUGCAGGAUCUUCAGCAGCUGUUGGAGUGAGAAGCUUUGGGGAGCAUCAACCAACCUUGGCUUUAGGCUUGGACCCACAUCCACACUUCCAGGGCUCACCACAAGGCUCUGCAGCCACCCCCAUGGCUUUGGGUAGCUCCUUCUGAAGGUGGCUUUGUGGGGCUGUGGUGUGGGGGGGGAGAUGCUCCCUGCUACUAUAUGGGGCUUGAUUGCCCUCCCCUGCAGCUCUGACCCUUUGCCCUGUGGAGGGGGGCUGGGGUAGAUGGAAGGAACAAUCCCAAGCCCUUUACCUUGGCUUGGGGAGGUCACAACCCAAUGGGAGACUCCUUUGGGAAGGACACUGCUGGGGAGCCAUCAGCUUCUCCAGCAAAGCUCUGCUGGUGCUGGUUAAGGAAAAGCUUUCCCAUGGUGAGGGCCAGCAGCAGGCAAGAGCAGGAAGGGUCAAACCACCCUCAGCAGAUCAGCAGAGGGGCUGGGAGAGUAAAAUUCCAGCUGAAGGAGGAGGAAGGUAACCCUCAAAGCACCUUUCUGGGGUGCAGGAUGGUACCAAGGACCUUCCUGGAAGUUCAGGGUGGCAUCAAAGACCUUCCUGGGGUGCAGGAUGGCACCCAGGGGCUUUCUGGAGUGCAGGUUGGCAACCAAACCUUCCUAGAGCACAGGAUGGCACCCAGGGGCUUUCUGGAGUGCAGGAUGGCAACCAAACCUUCCUAGAGCACAGGAUGGCACCCAGGGACUUCCUGGAGUGCAGGUUGGCAACCAAACCUUCCUAGAGCACAGGAUGGCACCCAGGGGCUUUCUGGAGUGCAGGUUGGCAACCAAACCUUCCUAGAGCACAGGAUGGCACCCAGGGGCUUUCUGGAGUGCAGGUUGGCAACCAAACCUUCCUAGAGCACAGGAUGGCACCCAGGACCUGCUUGGAGUGCAGGUUGGCAACCAAACCUUCCUAGAGCACAGGAUGGCACCCAGGACCUGCUUGGAGUGCAGGUUGGCAACCAAACCUUCCUAGAGCACAGGAUGGCACCCAGGGGCUUUCUGGAGUGCAGGUUGGCAACCAAACCUUCCUAGAGCACAGGAUGGCACCCAGGACCUGCUUGGAGUGCAGGUUGGCAACCAAACCUUCCUAGAGCACAGGAUGGCACCCAGGGGCUUUCUGGAGUGCAGGUUGGCAACCAAACCUUCCUAGAGCACAGGAUGGCACCCAGGACCUGCUUGGAGUGCAGGAUGGCAACCAAACCUUCCUAGAGCACAGGAUGGCACCCAGGACCUGCCUGGAGUGCAGGAUGCCACCCAAACUUUGCCAUUCCCCCUCCUCAGCGUGGAGCAAAGCCUGUGCCAGUCUCCUCUCUGUGUAAUUAAUUCCCUGGGGUUUGUUUUUAGUCCAUUUUGAGUGGUUUUUGAGUAUUAUUGGACCUGAAGCCAAACCAAAUACCAAAAAACAAAAGCAAAUCAAAAGGAGCCACCCCCAGAAGAGAGUAUUUCACCCCCCCAACACCUGAACCAUGUCUUCCAAAGCUGAAGUAGGGAACACAGCCUCAAAGGGAUGCCCCCACAAAUGCCCAUCCAAAGUGUUACACUGGGGGGGUGGGGAUGGGGGUUGUUGUAUGGGGUUGAUUGGGGUUUGUGUGUGUGUGUGUGUGUGCCUCCUCCUCCCCCUUUUCCUCCUCCUCCUCCACCUCCUGCAAGUUUGUUUUCUGGUCUGCUUUUUGGUCCUCCUCCUUCUCUUCCUCCUCCUUCUCUUCCUCCUCCUUCUCUUCCUCCUCCUUCUCUUCCUCCUCCUCCAAGUUUGUUUUCUGUUCUGCUUUUUGGUCCUCCUCCUUCUCCUCCUUCUCCUCCUUCUCCUCCUUCUCCUCCUUCUCCUCCUUCUCCUCCUUCUCCUCCUUCUCCUCCUUCUCCUCCUUCUCCUCCUUCUCCUCCUUCUCCUCCUUCUCCUCCUUCUCCUCCUUCUCCUCCUUCUCCUCCUUCUCCUCCUUCUCCUCCUUCUCCUCCUUCUCCUCCUUCUCCUCCUUCUCCUCCUUCUCCUCCUCCUCCUCUGUUUGUUUUCUGUUCUGCUUUUUGGUCUUCAUCCUCUUCCUCCUCCUCCUCCUCCCCCUCCUCCUCCUCCUUUGUUUUCUGUUCUGCUUUUUGGUUCUCAAGAGCAGGUUGGGAAUCUCCUCCCCCCCCUCCCCAACCCUCCUCCCUCCCUCUCCAUCUCUGUGAACAGAUUUGAGCCAAGAGUUUGUAUCCCUCUGCCCCUCUUUCCUGUACCCUGUAGAAGGUUGAGAGGUCUCUUCUCUUCCACAUUGUUUCCAAGACAAAAAAAAAAGAAAACCAACCAAAAAAAACCAAAAAACACCCAAAAAAAUCAAUAAAAAGAGACAAAAAAAAGGACAAAAAUUAAUUAAUUAAUUAAUGAAAAGAAAUAAAAGAGCCCAAAAAACAAAAGAAACCUCAAAGGGUUUGGUGGUUGA